AACUUUUGGCAAUGGAUCUCUUGGCUUUUGCAUCGAUGAAGAACGCCGCGAAAGUGCGAAACGUAAUGUGAAUUGCAGAAUUCAGUGAAUCGUCGAAUCUUUGAACGCAUCUUGCGCUCCUUGGUAUUCCGAGGAGCAUGCCUGUUUGAGUGUCGUGUGCAACCCUCGAAGCGCUUCCUUUUGACCGAGGGAGGGCUUCGGAUUUGGAUGUUUGCGGCUGGUGGCCGCUCGUCUUGAAAUGCAUUAGCUUGGUCCCCUCGGACGACGACGGUGUGAUAAUAGACUGUGGCGCCGUCAGAGUCUAAUCGAGGGGACGGCUGACAGCCGUCCUUUGCGGACAAUGUUAGAACGUAUGACCUCAAAUCAGGUAGGACUACCCGCUGAACUUAAGCAUAUCAAUAAGCGGAGGCU
rnacentral:misc_RNA from 1 species